rnacentral:lncRNA from 1 species
CUGGAUCCCCAAUUUCGCCAGCUUCAGCGCCUCCUCCACCGGCCAAUCGGGCACAUCCUGAUCCAACAUCUCCGCAAAAUUCCCCUUCUCGAUCGCCCGCUGCACGUGGUGAGUCAGCCCCAUCGGCGGCUUUGCCCUCCAACACCGCAAAAAGAUUUAGCCGUCAACAGCUGCAAGAAGAUAAUCCCUAGCGAAUAAAUGUCAGAUUUGGUUCCCAACAUCCCAGUCUGCUGAUACUCCGGAUCGAUGUAGCAGAACGUCCCCGCCGUAUGCGUCAUCCGGUACUGCGUGAUGCUAUU